GAUGAACGCUGGCGGCGUGCUUAACACAUGCAAGUCGAACGAGAAGUGAAGACGGAAACCUUCGGGCGGAAGGCUUUAUUUCGAGUGGCGGACGGGUGAGUAACGCGUGGGUAACCUGCCUCAUACAGGGGGAUAACAGUUGGAAACGACUGUUAAUACCGCAUAAGACCACAGCACCGCAUGGUGCGGGGGUAAAAACUCCGGUGGUAUGAGAUGGACCCGCGUUCGAUUAGCCAGUUGGCAGGGUAACGGCCCACCAAAGCGACGAUCGAUAGCCGAUCUGAGAGGCUGACCGGCCACAUUGGGACUGAGACACGGCCCAAACUCCUACGGGAGGCAGCAGUGGGGAAUAUUGCACAAUGGGGGAAACGCUGAUGCAGCGACGCCGCGUGAGUGAAGAAGUAUUUCGGUAUGUAAAGCUCUAUCAGCAGGGAAGAAAAUGACGGUACCUGAGUAAGAAGCCCCGGCUAACUACGUG
rnacentral:rRNA from 1 species